UAAAUCACGAGCUUUAUCAUGGCUAUGUAGUUUCUUCCCACCCAUCUCUAUAUGCUCUCUCAAAGUAAUGGAGAAAUGACAUAAUAUUAAAAAACAAAUAAUUAGCAGUAUAUAUCCACAAUGUAUCUAGUAGAUUAAGAAGAAAUGUACUCAGAAGUAAAUAAAUGAAUGAAAAGUAGUGUGGAAAUAAAUAUCAAUGCAGCACAGUGAGUAUAUUCAAAUUUCCAAAAAAAGAAAAGAAAGAUAUAGAAAUAUUUGACAUUUUUCUUACACUGAAUACUUCCUUGAAAAGCAAAGUUUCUUUUUAUAAGCCAUAAUCUCAGAGGACUGCAUCCUAUGAUUUUGUUCUUCAAUGCAACUUUUUGCAUUUAUAACUUUAAGAUACCCCUAAAACUUAAUGUCAUAUUCAAAAUAAACAUAGGAAGUGUGUGUAUCGUGGGGGGAGUGGAACUGAUUUGGCUCCAAGAUUAGAAUAAUGAAUAUAUUAAUAAUAAUCCAGGAGGAGGAGCUUCAUUUUUCCAUUGUUUUCUUUAAAAUGCAUGCAAGGGAAAGCUGGCCAUUGUCUUCUUUUCCUCUCUUGCUGCCCUCAUCUUGUCCUCUCCUUCCAUCUUGCUUCUCACCGUACACCCUCACCCCAUUCUCUUACACAGAAUGACCUUCAUUUUUCUCAGGAGAAUUCCAGGACAAGCAGCUAGACUGUGCAAAGGCCAAAAUGGAGGAGGAGGAGGGACUCCUGAAGCCCUUUCAGAUACUGAAUGAUGGAAAAAUACAAGAGAGAACUUGAAAUUUCAUAUGACAAAGAGUAAGCAAAACAUUUCCCCUUUCUAGACAUAAGUUGUCUUUAAUACAUGAAAACUAGAUUUCCUUUCACCAUAGAAUUCCAAUGCACUCCGAAUAACCAUGCCCUUCAUAUUCAAUAGUAAGAACUGCCAUGGAGAACAGAGGUCCAGGCUGACCAUUCACAAUACCAAUCUUUGAGUAGAAUGCCAGACAUUUCUGCCUUCUUCAUGAGUAUUAAUUCUAUCUGGUCUGCCAAGUCCCUGGUUCCCCUGGGGCUUUGAUUCUGUUGACGGGCGGCGGGGGGGGGGGGGUGGUGGAGACGGGGGGGGGGGGCUUGGACAGCACAAUAAUAGCAAGUGAAUAUUUGCACAGUCAAAUAUAUCCUCCUGGUGCAUUGUCCUACCAUAUUACAUUUAUUUUUCUUUAUGUCUUAUGUAAGUUUUUCUUCUUCAAAAAAUUUUAAAUUAUUAUUAAAUAGUUGUACAAAGAAGUUUCAAGUCAACAUGCAUGUCAGGUUUGCCCAUGGCACCUCCAGCCUCCUGGCUGCAGGGGCCAAUCAGGGUGAGGAGAGAAGAGCUGGCAAAAGGGCAGGUGCUCUGACUCUUGUCACUGUUGCCAGCCCUGGGUCCUAAGUGCAGUGUUACAGCCUCCUUCCUCCUCCCGCCUUCCCCCCCCCCCCCCCCGCCCCCUUCUCACUUUCUCUGACAUAGCACUCACCGGCCACUAUGGACUCUGUUCCUUUCAUGGCACAAAGAAAAGGGUGGGAAAUGGGCUGCUAGCCAAUCCCCAAUCGUAACCUCCUAACAUUACUGGUACCUGUCUAGGGGCAGCCUUUCACUGGGCCAACAGCUGGAAAGGAGAGAACCUUUUAAUGUGACAGAGUUGCAAGAAGGCCACCUUACAAAACUGAUUCCCAGAGCUCUUCUAUGAGCUGAUCAGCGAGAGUUUGUAGUCAAGUGGAUGAAACAAUGCCACAUUAUGAAUACCUGAUUUCCAAAUACCCAUGCAGGACUCAUGCCACAGCCAAUCAUAAUAAUUGUCACAUCA